rnacentral:rRNA from 1 species
ACGGGUGAGUAACACGUGGGCAACCUGCCCUUGAGACUGGGAUAACUUCGGGAAACCGGAGCUAAUACCGGGUAAUAUAAGGAACCUUCUGGUUCCUUGUUGAAAGAUGGUUUCGGCUAUCACUUAAGGAUGGGCCCGCGGCGCAUUAGCUAGUUGGUGAGGUAACGGCUCACCAAGGCGACGAUGCGUAGCCGACCUGAGAGGGUGAUCGGCCACACUGGGACUGAGACACGGCCCAGACUCCUACGGGAGGCAGCAGUAGGGAAUCUUCCACAAUGGACGAAAGUCUGAUGGAGCAACGCCGCGUGAGUGAUGAAGGCCUUCGGGUCGUAAAGCUCUGUUGUUAGGGAAGAACAAGUGCGAGAGUAACUGCUCGCACCUUGACGGUACCUAACCAGAAAGCCACGGCUAACUACGUGCCAGCAGCCGCGGUAAUACGUAGGUGGCAAGCGUUAUCCGGAAUUAUUGGGCGUAAAGCGCGCGCAGGUGGUUUCUUAAGUCUGAUGUGAAAGCCCACGGCUCAACCGUGGAGGGUCAUUGGAAACUGGGGAACUUGAGUGCAGAAGAGGAAAGUGGAAUUC